rnacentral:lncRNA from 1 species
AUUUUUAUAAUUUUGACCCCGUUGAACUAAAUUCUACGAUUUUACCCUCACAAACCUAAUUUCUGGACUCCUGGUCACUACCAUACAAGAAAACUAACAAGAUAUCUAUAACUUGGAUCACUUUGGGAUCACUUAUUACGAUGAAAUUACAAUGGGUUUUAGGAUCAUUAUAAAAUUGUCAUGGUAACAAAUUAAAUUUUCUUUUUUAGCCAAAUUUUCACUUACAGAAUAUCUAAAAAAAAGAUCAUCUUUUUAUAAAAGCCAACAUCCAUAUAGGCCUAAGCUCCAUUUGGUACUAUUUAAUGCCACAAGCUUUUUUUAGUUUGCUACCAAAACAACUAAGAUUUUUUAUUUUUUUUUUUGUUUUUCCUGGGCUUUACUUUUGCUAAAAUAAACAAAAAAAAUAAAAAUGCAAAAAACAAACUAGACUGUUUUUUUUGCUUAUAAACCAAAAAGUUAUAACUUAAAAAAAGUCACCAAAAAAGCUAGUACAAAAACGGAGCCUAAGUGUAACUAUCACAUAUUCUAAUCCAAUUUUCAAAUGAUUUUUUCAUUAAAAAAAAUCUAUAUAUGUCCAAUUAUGAUAAACUUUUUAGAUUCAAAUUAUCCAUAUUUUGUCCUAAUGAAUGAAUCAAUUGUCCCAAUUAUGAAUAAAAUAUCAUGUAUUGUACAAACUAUUUUACUUAUGAUGAAGUUUGUCAUCUAUUUACGAUGCCGGAACUCGUAGGAGAUGGUGAAUAUGAUGAUCGCUAAAGACGGGGUAAUACACUGAUAUAUGUAAAAAAAAAUAAGUAAAAAAUUCAAAAUUGGAAACUGUUCCAUGAUCCGAAAAUGAUAUCCAUACUAAAAAAGGUUUUUUCAUCCAUACUAAUCACGUGCCUAAUUAUAAUAUUUGAAAUAGAUAAAAUGCAUCAUAGGUGAACUUGCAAAUUCAAGUCCCCCUGUUUCUAAUUGAACCAAAAAGAAAUAAACCCAACUUCUUUAAAAAACCAUAAUAAUUAGCAAAAGCGCUCAAUUACAAAUCGCGAGUUGAACACAAACCCGAACAAAACAGUGCAAUUCACUUGCAUCGGACGGUUAAGAAAAACUUUAAAAACUGUAUUAUGUGGCAACAUCUCAAUGCGUAGAGUCUAUCCACCAUGAUCAGAGUCAACGUUAAAAAUCUACUAAAUCUGUCAAUUACCAGUGCUUACAAAGUUAAACUCACUAUAAGGGGAACUUUUUUUUUAAUGGGAACUCAUAAGAGGAAACUUUAAACAGGAGAGGCGAGCCUGAGGCUGAGGCCCGCUUCCAACCUCUAUCCCACCAUGUGGGAAUUGGGCCAUAGAUGCACAAAGAAACUUUUUGCAUUCUAAGUUUCAAAUUCAAAAGAAGUAACAACCUAAUGUUUUUGCUAGGAUUCUUUUUGCUUUCGAUUUGUUGUUUCUUCUUCUUCCCUUGUCUAUGCAAUAUUGUUGUGCCCUCAAAAAUCGAAUCAGCAAUCACACACCCGCGUAUAUAGAACCAACAAUAAUUUACGAGAUUUGGCAAAAUUGCCUACGUCAAUUUUUUAUUAAAUUAGAGGAAAUAAAUAUUAGAUCUCCAAGUUUACAGAUAUUAAAAAACAGAAAGACACCAGAGUCUAAGAGCGAGACAUUCUUUUUUUCUUUGUGUUGAAUUUAUUUGAAACUUUGUCUUUUAUAUGCUAGAGUUUAAAGUCCUAAUAAAAAUAAAAAAAAAGUUUCCAUAAAAAUGAAUGUGCCUUACUUGAUGGAUACGGUUUGUACUCAUUCACACAGUCCUUUUUUAUGUUCGCCUCACAUUAUCUAGUUUUUUAACAUUGAUGAUAUCAAUGUUCAUGGAGAAUUGAUGGGUAACUGUUUUGAGGUGUUUCAGAUUCGCAUCGCUCAUUUAUCUAGUUUUACAACAUUGACAAUAUCAUAUGGUUGAUGGGUAACGGUGUUUUUAGUUGGUUGAGCGAGCUUGGACCUUAACAUUGCGGUUGUAAAAAGAAAAGAAGAGUGCAUUAAGGUUUUUGGUCUUUGACAUUUUUAAUAUUAUUUCAAUUAUUAAAGGGGUUGAAUCAUUAAUUGCGGGGGUUAACCAUGAAUUAAUUUAUAAACAAAUGGCACUUAUUAAACCGCUACUCCGAAGCCGGAUUCAAUGAUUUCACUACAACUGAAACGCAGAAUUAAGUAUACUAUUAUAGCUAGGGUAGUUAGUCUUCCUGACUAAUUAGUUUAGCUAGACAUAUAGAAUUUGAGAUUCUGGAUCCAUCAAUUUUAAUAUUAAAUUAAAGCAUUAAAAAAUCAUUUUAAUGUGUUUUUUGGGGGCCUAAGUUAUAGAAACUCUAGCACAAUUAUAAAAUAAAAAAAAUAAAAAAAGUGUUGGAUCUAGGAUUUCUCUUCUCCCACUAUAAUUUGUCAAUGUGGGUGACAAAAAUUUAUUUCAAUUUAUUUAUUUUUAUUUCUCUCUUGAGUACUUAGGAAAGUAUUUAGUUGGAAAUCCCCUCCGGAUAUUA